AAUGAACGCUGGCGGCGUGCUUAACACAUGCAAGUCGUACGAGAAAUCUUCUGCUUGCAGAAGAGAGUAAAGUGGCGUACGGGUGAGUAAUGCGUAGGUAAUCUACCUCUGAAUUCGGGAUAACAUAUCGAAAGGUGUGCUAAUACCGGAUGAAGUCCAUGUGGUAAUGACUGUAUGGAUGAAAGAUGGCCUCUACAUGUAAGCUAUUGUUUGGAGAUGAGCCUGCGUACCAUUAGCUAGUUGGUGGGGUAAGAGCCUACCAAGGCUACGAUGGUUAGCUGGUCUGAGAGGAUGAUCAGCCACACUGGAACUGGAACACGGUCCAGACUCCUACGGGUGGCAG
rnacentral:rRNA from 1 species